UCUUGCCUGGAAAAUUCCAUGGACACAGAAGCCUGGCGGGCUAAAAUUCAUGGAGUGGCAAAGAGUCGGACAUGACUGAGUGACUUUCAUUCAUUCAUUCAUCUUAUUCAUUGUGACAAUCCCUUCCUUUUAAUAAGACUCCGGUAUUUACAUUUGAUGUAAAGGUUUAUAUGGUUGAAUCCUGGGAGAUUCAGUAUGGUUAUCCAUGAUUAGUGCCUUUGUGGGAGAACUGGAAAGUUGAGCUCUUCUGGGACCUCUCAGGGCCUCUCCACAUUGUAUUUC